rnacentral:misc_RNA from 1 species
AAGUCAUAACAAGGUUUCCGUAGGUGAACCUGCGGAAGGAUCAUUAUUGAACCAACCAGUCUCUUUAGCGUCAGCUGGGAGACGAUCCUUCGGGAUCAUACACACAUCGUGAACUGUGGCUUCGGCCUUUUUACACUAUCUGUAUGAAUGUAUUACUAUAAUAAACAAAACUUUCAACAACGGAUCUCUUGGCUCUC